rnacentral:rRNA from 1 species
ACACCUACGGGGCGCAGCAGUGGGGAAUAUUGCACAAUAGGGGAAACCCUGAUGCAGCAACGCCGCGUGAGUGAAGAAGUAUUUCGGUAUGUAAAGCUCUAUCAGCAGGGAAGAAGAAAGACGGUACCUGACUAAGAAGCCCCGGCUAACUACGUGCCAGCAGCCGCGGUAAUACGUAGGGGGCAAGCGUUAUCCGGAUUUACUGGGUGUAAAGGGAGCGUAGACGGCAUAGCAAGUCUGAAGUGAAAGCCCGGGGCUC